rnacentral:rRNA from 1 species
UACGUAGGUGGCAAGCGUUGUCCGGAAUUACUGGGCGUAAAGCGCGUGUAGGUGGUGGGACAAGUCUGCUGUGAAAGUGCCUGGCUUAACCGGGCGAGGUCGGCGGAAACUGUCCGACUCGAGGACGGUAGAGGGGGGUGGAAUUCCCGGUGUAGUGGUGAAAUGCGUAGAGAUCGGGAGGAACACCUGUGGCGAAGGCGGCCCCCUGGGCCGGCCCUGACACUGAGACGCGAAGGCGUGGGGAGCGAACGGG